GACCCUAAAUCUUUAUAUUUGUUUGUAGUGGAAGAAAGUGGAGGUUACCAUGGCAUUUGAACUCAUUGAUAAUGUUGGCACAGAAGCAUUGCUGUUAAUUAAGCGUUGUUAAGUGUAUUGUUAGAAAUGAAUUGCCCACAGUAGAUACUUUAACAGUAUCUCUUUUGUAUCUCACAGAAAAUAGGUGGAAGGCAAGGAAUUAAAGUGGGAACAAGUGUUUGAGGCUGUGCAAGAGCGGGACAAUCAAAUCAAGAUGCUGACAGAGCAAGUAUACGGGGGAGAUGGAGAGAAAUGCCCUGCUCAAAGAGGAACUCAAGAAUCCCCUGAAGAAAGACAGAGGUGCUUGUCAAAUUCUCUUGUUGUAAAAGCACAGCCAUUUAGCACAUUAGCAUGAGCUCUUUAGUAUAAGUGUAGCCAUAGAUUCUGAUGUAGCAUUGGACAAGCUAAAUGCUAAGCUGCAAGCCACAGAGACAAGAGCACGGGAGGCAGAACGUGUGGCUGAGCUAGCCGAGACAGACGCCAGGGACACCCUAAACCACAUGAUAAUCUACGAGUCUGGCACUGAUGGUCUGCAGGUGGCCAUCGCUGAGAUCAAAGAAUGUAAGAAUCGGAUGAGAGUGUGAGACGGCGAGACGGAGGCCAUGACCACAGAUAUCAACCAGCUGGAAAUGAGAAUCAAUGCAGAUGUUAAGGAAAGUCUCAGUCUGGAGCCCCAAGAGGAAGUGGAUCUGACGGAAUUCAGAAGAACCGAAUCUCUGAAACAGCGGCAGUUCAAAGCAGAGAACCAGGAUCUCACUAAAGAUAUCGAACCACUGGAAGGGGAGGUACUUGAACUGAAGAAACAAAUCAGAGGAAUGGUAAAGGACAAAGGUAAAUACCAGAGGUGGGACCAAGUCACCUAUCAUUCGAGUCACAAGGUCCGAGUUUCAAGUCAAGUCCCAUGUAGAACUUGUCAAGUCCAAGUUGUGCAUUCUAAGAGCAAGUAGAGUUGAGUCGCAAGUCAAGUUUAAAAAAAACAUGUAUACAUGCAAUGACUUGUUGAACGACAAAUCAAUCAAUCAAAUGUAUUUAUAGAGGUCUUUUUACAUCAGCCAAUGUCACAAAGUGCUAAAUCUUUGUCUAUUUAUCGAGUCUACCAGACAGCCCUUUUCAUGAGUUUGUCUACAACACAUUUUGAUUAGCCUAUGUAAUUGUAAAAUAGGGACCUUGUAGCAGUUGUAAGGGCAUGAAAUCAGCAGAAGGCAAGGCAGGUUGACGUGCUCAAGAGUGUAGAUGUAUUUACAGGUUUAGUUGGUGCAACGGUGAAAGUGCCAUAUCAUACCAAAUAUACAAGUAGAUUUACCAAAGAUAUAUGGGCAAUAGCCCAAAAGGAAUAGCCUCUGUAUCAGGCUUAACCUGUCCUAUCUGAACGGAGACAGGCGAGAGGGCAAAACUCUAAAGCGUCCCCUUGAGACACCAAAUUGAAUCUGUUUAACAGCUCAAACAGGUAGACCUACAUAAUAUAAGCACUUGGCCCCCAGAAGCAUAUAAUUACCCAAUUGGCAAAUACAAUCAAUAAACUGGUUCUACAAUGUA